rnacentral:rRNA from 1 species
UACGUAGGGUGCAAGCGUUGUCCGGAAUUACUGGGCGUAAAGGGCUCGUAGGCGGCCAACUAAGUCAGACGUGAAAUCCCCAGGCUCAACCUGGGAACUGCGUCUGAUACUGGAUGGCUUGAAUCCGGGAGAGGGAUGCGGAAUUCCAGGUGUAGCGGUGAAAUGCGUAGAUAUCUGGAGGAACACCGGUGGCGAAGGCGGCAUCCUGGACCGGCAUUGACGCUGAGGCGCGAAAGCCAGGGGAGCAAACGGG